GACGAACGCUGGCGGCGUGCUUAACACAUGCAAGUCGAGCGGUAAGGCCCUUUCGGGGGUACACGAGCGGCGAACGGGUGAGUAACACGUGGGUGACCUGCCCUCAGCUCUGGGAUAAGCCUGGGAAACCGGGUCUAAUACUGGAUAUGACUCCAUGACGCAUGUUGUGGGGUGGAAAGCCUUGUGCGGCUGAGGAUGGGGCCCGCGGCCUAUCAGCUUGUUGGUGGGGUGAGGCCUACCAAGGCGACGACGGGUAGCCGGCCUGAGAGGGCGACCGGCCACACUGGGACUGAGACACGGCCCAGACUCCUACGGGAGGCAGCAGUGGGGAAUCUUGCGCAAUGGCCGAAAGGCUGACGCAGCGACGCCGCGUGGAGGAUGACGCCCUCGGU
rnacentral:rRNA from 1 species